UACGGAGGGGACUAGCGUUGUUCGGAAUUACUGGGCGUAAAGCGCGCGUAGGCGGAUUUGCAAGUCGGGGGUGAAAGCCCGAGGCUCAACCUCGGAACUGCCUUCGAUACUGCAAAUCUCGAGUCCGAGAGAGGUGAGUGGAAUUCCUAGUGUAGAGGUGAAAUUCGUAGAUAUUAGGAAGAACACCAGUGGCGAAGGCGGCUCACUGGCUCGGUACUGACGCUGAGGCGCGAAAGCGUGGGGAGCGAACAGG
rnacentral:rRNA from 1 species